CUGUAAGCUUUCUGAGAGUGUCUCAUUUAAAACUCUUUCUCCUACUUCUUAUCUUUGGAAGAGUCUAAAUUAAGAUGAAGGAGGCAUCUGAUCGACUACCGAAGAAGGAUCAGUAUAGUACUAGCAUACUGUGCUGAUUUUCUGGAUCAGAACUUCUGAUCGUGAUUCGUGGGCUCGUGUGGAUGACUCCUAGAGGCCAAAUGCAUG
rnacentral:lncRNA from 1 species